rnacentral:rRNA from 1 species
GACGAACGCUGGCGGCGUGCUUAACACAUGCCAGUCGAACGGAAAGGCCCUGCUUUUGUGGGGUGCUCGAGUGGCGAACGGGUGAGUAACACGUGAGUAACCUGCCCUUGACUUUGGGAUAACUUCAGGAAACUGGGGCUAAUACCGGAUAGGAGCUCCUGCUGCAUGGUGGGGGUUGGAAAGUUUCGGCGGUUGGGGAUGGACUCGCGGCUUAUCAGCUUGUUGGUGGGGUAGGGGCUUACCAAGGCUUUGACGGGUAGCCGGCCUGAGAGGGUGACCGGCCACAUUGAGACUGAGAUAAGGCCCAGACUCCUACGGGAGGCAGCGGUGGAGAAUAUUGCACAAUGGGCGGAAGCCUGAUGCAGCAACGCCGCGUGCGGGAUGACGGCCUUCGGGUUGUAAACCGCUUUCGCCUGUGACGAAGCGUGAGUGACGGUAAUGGGUAAAGAAGCACCGGCUAACUACGUG